rnacentral:rRNA from 2 species
AGCGGCAGACGGGUGAGUAAUGCGUGGGAAUCUACCUUAAGCUACGGGAUAACAGAGAGAAAUUUCUGCUAAUACCGUAUGUGGCCUAUGGGCGAAAGAUUUAUCGGCUUAAGAUGAGCCCGCGUUGGAUUAGCUAGUUGGUGGGGUAAAGGCCUACCAAGGCGACGAUCCAUAGCUGGUCUGAGAGGAUGAUCAGCCACACUGGGACUGAGACACGGCCCAGACUCCUACGGGAGGCAGCAGUGGGGAAUAUUGGACAAUGGGCGGAAGCCUGAUCCAGCCAUGCCGCGUGAGUGAAGAAGGCCUUAGGGUUGUAAAGCUCUUUCACCGGUGAAGAUAAUGACGGUAACCGGAGAAGAAGCCCCGGCUAACUUCGUGCCAGCAGCCGCGGUAAUACGAAGGGGGCUAGCGUUGUUCGGAUUUACUGGGCGUAAAGCGCGCGUAGGCGGAUAGAUAAGUCAGAGGUGAAAUCCCGGGGCUCAACCCCGGAAUUGCCUUUGAUACAGUUUAUCUUGAGUGCAGAAGAGGUAAGUGGAAUUCCGAGUGUAGAGGUGAAAUUCGUAGAUAUUCGGAGGAACACCAGUGGCGAAGGNGGCUUACUGGUCUGCAACUGACGCUGAGGCGCGAAAGCNUGGGGAGCAAACAGGANUAG